rnacentral:rRNA from 1 species
AUGAUCUGGGAGCUCCUAUUGGAUGCCCGCGUGCGUCCAAUAGUAGAGCCUUCGUUGAAGCCCGUGCAAACGGCCGGCCCAUUGGCAGCAUCGAACCUAGAAUUCACAAAAAACAAAGGGUGGCGCGUGAAGUCAAACUCCCAACCACUGGUAUUGGAGCACACUUGCUUACCACUCGGACUGCCAUGGCUUGCCGUCUCAGAUCCGUGCCAGCCAUCCAGCCCCUGCUCCGAUGAAACCAAUGUCGAAGACGAAGAACAGCUGCAGAUCCUGAAGGCCAACAUCUUGAGGAUCCUGAAAAUACAGCCUCCUGCAUUUGCCCAGCAGAUGUAUACUUUGUCAGGAAUCAGGAUUGGGUUCGCUUGCAUCUUCAGAGAAAUUAAGGUGAACCUGGUACAGUGGUACACCACCAGGACAUAUAAGGAUGUGAAAAUGUAUGGCUCCAGGACAUAUAAGGAUGUAAAAAUGUAUGGCUCCCUGCAGCCGGUGCGGCAGGUGUACGAGCGGCUCGUGUCCGUGUGCGGCAGCCCGGAGCAAGCCCAGAACGCGGUGGCGCUGCUGGUGUGGCUUGACCAAGGCACCAUCUCCGCCAUCCACCACGUCCUAGCCAUCGGCCCCGAUGCCAUCGCCGUCGUGGCAGAAGAGGCCAACGCCAUCCUCAAGUGCUUCCGCCACCAGGUGCCCGUGCUCCCGCCCAUCCCGCUCAUCUCUGCGCUCUGCAUGCAAGGCGGCGUCCACAUCGACCCGGGCUUCUUCGCCUUCCAUCAGGACAUCGUCGUCAGCGGCGUCGCCCAUUUCCUCGACGGUGCCAGCAAGUUCAUUUUCGAUGACCGCCUGCACCUCCUGCUCCGUAAGUCCGAGACUGGGCUGGUGGGCAACCCACCGAAGCUCCUGGCACCCUACACCCAUCCCAUGGCCGUGCCGGAGGACUGCCGUUCUAUGUUCAUCACCUUCUCCAAGGGCAUGCCCCCCACCGUGAGGAGAUCUUUGAGUACUUCAGAGAGUAAGUGUGCACUGAGAAUGAUUAAGAAGUGGGGUGACUGCGUGGUCGGGGUGCUCAUGGAGAAGACGAAGGGAGGCCUCUUGCCCAUGUACGGCCGGAUCAUCUUCAAGACGGAGGCGAUAGUGAAGCUGGUGCUCAAUGGCGAGAGGCCCGUCAAGAUCUCCAUUGGGCAUCGUCAGAUCUGGCUCCGCAAGUAUGUCCCCAGGCCAACCAAGGCCACUCCCUGA